AGUGAACGCUGGCGGUAGGCCUAACACAUGCAAGUCGAACGGCAGCACAGGAGAGCUUGCUCUCUGGGUGGCGAGUGGCGGACGGGUGAGGAAUACAUCGGAAUCUGCCCAGUCGUGGGGGAUAACGUAGGGAAACUUACGCUAAUACCGCAUACGACCUUCGGGUGAAAGAGGGGGAUCGCAAGACCUCUCGCGAUUGGAUGAGCCGAUGUCGGAUUAGCUAGUUGGCGGGGUAAUGGCCCACCAAGGCGACGAUCCGUAGCUGGUCUGAGAGGAUGAUCAGCCACACUGGAACUGAGACACGGUCCAGACUCCUACGGGAGGCAGCAGCGGGGAAUAUUGGACAAUGGGCGCAAGCCUGAUCCAGCCAUACCGCGUGGGUGAAGAAGGCCUUCGGGUUGUAAAGCCCUUUUGUUGGGAAAGAAAUCUUUCAGGCUAAUACCCUGGGAGGAUGACGGUACCCAAAGAAUAAGCACCGGCUAACUUCGUG
rnacentral:rRNA from 1 species